GUCCGAAAAGUCCGUCUACCCGUAGCUCCUAUCCAUGUUACUGGUCAAAAAGUGAACAUGGAAGCAGGUACAGGUGCACGGCGAGUAGGGUCAUGAAGCU
ensembl:miRNA mir-51 ncRNA